CCGAUGCAGUUUCCUACUCGCCCAUUGGCUUUGCUUGCGUGGAGUGGGACCCGCUGGAUCAACUCGUUUCGCUUCCACGGUAAGUCAAGCGGGCAGGCAGGCAGCCAAUGAAUUAGCGUUGCUUGAUCGGGGAAGACUUCGCGUACUCCUUGCUCUUCCAAAAGCCCUCUUUAAUUAGCCGUGGGAGAAAGAGAGAGUUUUGAUCGCGAGGAUGUUCGAGCUCUUCGUGCUGGGCUGCACCGGCGUGGUGAUCUUCCUCCACGGAGCCAAUUUCUUCUUCCGCGCCCUCUCGCGCCGCCUCACCCCUCGAUCUCUCAGCUUCUUAGGAGUCGCUGAAUGGUAAUUUCGACGCGCGCGCAAGAAGAUUGUAAGUUCUAUACUGAAUAAUUUCGAGAUUCAAUUGAUGACUCCAAGUGUGUAAUCUGUACAGUAUGUAGCUCUGAUCAUUCCAAUUUUAUGCGUGUUUUUUUUCC